CUCCGCGCAUCCCCUUCCCGUGGAGCUCGGCGGCGGCUCCCGCGCGUUCCCCGCGGGCCGCGGAGUUGGCGGCGCUUCCCGAAGUUUUCCCAGAGCCGCGGGAUGGCGGGCGCCGCCCACUGCUCUCUACAGGCCAAGCGCCUGCUCCUGGACCCCAAGUUCGAGGGGUACAAGCUGUCGCUGGAGCCGCUGGCCUGCUACCAGCUGGGGCUGGACGCGGCUGUAGCAGAAGUGCAACUUCAUGAUGAUCAAUAUACCCUUGACCACAUGCGUGCUUUUGGCAUGUAUAAUUAUCUUCACCUUGAUUCCUGGUACCAGGAUAAUGUCUACUAUGUUGAUCAGUUUGGAAGGAUUAUGAAUCUGUCAGUGACUCUGGACACUGCUCUACAAAAACCAAGAGAAGUUUUCAGGCUGCCUUCAGACUUGACUGCGUGUGAUAAUCGCCUCUGUGCCUCGAUACACUUCUCAUCCCCCACACAGGUGACCCUUUCUGAUGGUACAGGAAGACUGUAUUUAAUUAAAUCAGGCAAACGUGGAAACAAUGCAUCUGAAAAGUGGGAGAUUAUGUUUAAUGAAGAACUAGGGAGUCCAUUUAUUAUAGCACACAGUGUUUCAUUUGUAAAAUCUGAUACAAAUUCACUAGCUGUGCUGCUGCUUAGGGUAGAAAAAGAUGAAUUGGACACAAAAGGAAGUGGAUUUCAUGUUACCUUGGAAUGGGUUACGAUUGCAGAGAUAAGCAAAGAGGGUGUUCAUAAAUAUGAAAUCAUUAAAAGGAGAGUUUUACAAGGAAAAUCAGUCCCCCAUUAUGCAGCAAUAGAGCAAAGUGGAGAUGGUCUAAUGAUUGUUUCCCACAAACCAUUCAAAUUUAUGGAAAGUGAAAGUGACAAAUUAGAAGAAAAUGAUGAUACAAAAAUACUAAAUGAAAAGAAAGACCCUCUUUAUUACUGGCAGCAGACCGAAGAUGAUGUGACCAUAACAGUUCAUCUGCCUCAAGACAUCACUAAAGAUGAUAUAAAAGUGCAUUUUUCUCCUGAUAACAUAUGUGUUACGCUGAGAGACCAGCCUCCUUUAAUGGAAGGAAAACUCUAUACGUCUGUGGACCAUGAAAGCUGCACCUGGAUAAUUAGAGAGAACAAAAGUUUGGAAAUUUCUCUAAUUAAGAAAAAUGAGGGAUCCCGGUGGCCAGAGCUAAUAGUUGGUGACACAAGAGGGGAAUUCAUUAUGGACCCUUCCCAAUGCUCCGAAAUAGCUGAAAGCCUGAUGCAUCUGACUUCUGAAGUAAUGAAUCCAAACCCUGAAAAGGAAAAACCACCUUGUAAUGCUCAGGAAUUAGAAGAAUGUGAUGCUUUCCUUGAAGAUGGCGCAAGCUUGUGCAGAUUUGAUGGCGAUACCUUGAAAGUUACUCAUAUAAUUAAUCUUGGAAGCAACCAGUAUCUUUUCUCAGUUGUUGUGAAUCCCAGAGAAAUGCCAUGCUUCUGCCUGAGACACGAUGUUGAUGCUCUUCUCUGGCAACCUCACUCUGACCAACCAGAGAACAUGUGGGAACACAUUGCAACUUUUAAUGCUUUAGGUUAUGUCCAAGCAUCAAAGCAAGACAAGAAGUUCAUGGCUUGUGCUCCAGAUUACUCCUAUGCUGCUCUUUGCGAGUGCUUGCGCCGAGUUUUCAUCUACCGUCAGCCGACACCUCUGGCCACAGUUCUCUACAACAGGAAGGAAGGAAGACAAGUAGGACAGGUUGCUAAGCAGCUAGUAGCAACCCUGGAAUCAAAUGAUCCUAUCUUAGGCUUUCAAGCUACAAAUGAGAGAUUAUUUGUUCUCACAACAAAAACCUUGUUUUUAAUAAAGGUGAACUCUGGAAAUUAAUUAUUCAGUGUGCUCUGCUGUAGUUUGUGUUAACAAUUUGUUGUAGAACUGGAUAGGUAGAUGAUCUGACAAGUUCAGUGCAAUUUGCUGAAAUUCAAAAAGGGGAUGUUUUACAGGGGAAUCAAACUUUUUCAUUAGAAUAUGUCUGUAAGAUAGCGACAAAGUUUUUCGACUUUGCUGCCACUGAAAUAAGUUUUUUCAGAGCUAUGGGAAAGUGUCUUCUGCGUCAACAGCUUUGUCAAAGCAGUUGACAGAGGCUGCUACUGCACAUGUGAAUAGAUUUAUGCAUUGUUUGUUCCAAAUGACUUUGUUUGCCAUAAUUCUGAAUUUUGAGAAUUCACUUCUGUUUUUAAAUGCCACUGUUUACCUAUGAAAAAAGUAGUCAGAUAAAGAGUUACAAGCGUAUGAUGUGCAAAGUAGAAUGUAUCAUUAAAAAAAAAAUCCCCAAUUCAAAUACUCUUGACCAAAAACUUUUGAUAUUUUGACAUUCAGUAGUAUUGAGUAAAAUGUGAAUGAAAUUAAUGCAGUGUUAUGUAUCUUAUACAGGUACUUAAGUGGAGCAAUUUCAUGGCAUAUGCACAUUUUAGAUUAUUGGUUUGGGACUUACUUAUGCUUGCAGUGCAAUCUGUUCAUAUUUUAAGAGACACUAGAAUACCUUCUAGUAGCUUUUUCCAGAAGCGAAGUAAGAGUCAAAGUAUAGCUGGCAAAUACACAUUGAAUGCUAUUAGUUAAGGUCUGGUUAUACUCUCAGUUGUGCCAUUUUCAUUUGACUUUGUACUUCAUCUCAAGUGACUAAUUUACAAGGAGAAAAUGGCUGACAGAAAAAGCACCAAUGUUGUAAAAAGCACUGGUAUUGUAACCUGGGAUGGGAAACUCAGAAGUGCUACUUCUGCCUCUGAUCCCACUGUAAAUGCUGUGUUAUUACUUAACCAUUUUGUCUGUGAUGCUCAAGUCCAGGUGUGGUAUAUUUGCAACGUAAGAGUACUCAGACCAGUGAGGAUGCUUUGGUUUAACAAACAGCUGUGGUUGAGUUCAAUAGUUGUGUCUGAAGAUUUUUGGUUUUGUUUUUUUUUUUUUCUUUAAAUUGGCAUUGUCAAUACAUUUAAACCAAAGGGUCAGUUGUGACAGCUCCACCCUGGGUUGGGGUUUUUUUCAUAGUUUGCUUAAAACUCCAUAACAAAGAAUGCCUAAUAUAUUGUGUACUGGCAGGAAUGCUGCUGUUAUCUGUGGUACCAAAGUACUGAGAGAGUCACAAAUACAAGUGGCCUUCUAGUUUGCAUCUCUCUUCUGAUAUCAUUUCAGAACUCUGUUAAGAGUAUUGAGAGAAAAAUAAGUGUUUCUUUAGUUGUGAUUGUUUUUACUCUCCUGUAAAUUCUCCAGACUUGUAUUGGUGAACUGAUUAAAUAAUGAGUGAGAAUUUAAGAGGGAGGCAAACACUUGUACCUUGCAAAAACCCUUGCAGAAACUUUCCAAGGAACCUGAUUUUCCUUCUCCUUACAGCAGGGUUAUGUCGUAUAUCUAAUAUUGAAAAGUUUUUCCUUGCUCUUUUAAAACUAUCUUGGAAAUGCUUUUUCAAAAGGCUCAGUGAACGUAUUACCAUUUCAUGACUGUUUUGCAUCUAAAUUUUAAUUGUUGGGCAAUAAUGUCAAACAAGGUGGUAGAAUUCCUGCAGAGGUCCUGUAGAAAAGAUUUGAUAUAGCUUAUUACUUUGCAGCAUAAAGUGUUUUUACAUGUAUAUGAAUAUUACUUAGUAACCUGAGAUUUAAUCAUUGUGAACAGGGAGUUAAGAACAUGAUAUUUGGGAAAUGGAGGAGUGAAGGAUUCAUAGGCAACAUGAUUUUGUCACCUUGUGUCUACUGCAGGAAGCUUCAAUAUAGAUGAGAAUUGUAGCUUUGUCAAAUUCAUCUUGCUGUGAGGUAGAUAUCUGGAAACAUUCUCUGCUGUCUCAGGCAACAGUGGAAACAAAUAAAAUGGUUACCUCUUCAGAGGCUAUGUUACAAUAUGUAAUGACUAAAACUCACAUUCUGCCCAAAUAUGUGUCCAUUUCAAGGGAGUUCUUGUUUACUCUGGAAAUAACUGAACAUCUCUUUUUCCAUGUUACUCAUCUGUUUGCAAUCAUGGUGUUCUCAAAAGGGAUGUAUUAAAUACUCUCUCUCUUAUUUUGCUUUCUAUGAGACUUAAGGAUAUUUUAUUAUUUAAAAGAUUUGUUAUCUUGAGGAACCUGGCAUGCUGUUACAGGGCAAUCCCAAGCACAAAAGCAGGGUGGGCAGGAAAUGGAUUGAGAGCAGGCCUGGAGAGAAGGACUUGGGGGUGUUGGUGGGUGAGAGGCUGGACAUGAGCUGGCAAUGUGCGCUUACAGACCAGAAAGCCAAACGUCCUGGGCUGCAUCACAGGAAGCAUGACCAGCAGGUCGAGGGAAGUGAUUCUGCCCUGGUGAAACCAGGUGAAAAUGUGAAACCAGCUGCCCUGGUGAAACCCCACCUGGAGUGCUGUGUUCAGCUCUGGGCUCCCCAACAUAAGGAAGACGUGGACCUGUCGGAACAAGUCCAGAGGAGGGACACGAAGAUGAUCAGAGAGCUGGAGCACCUCUGCUAUGAAGACAACCUGUGGGACUUGGGUAAGACUUAUGUUAAGGAGCUUUCUGUUAGGGCAAAGUUCUAAAGGGUGUCUGCUGCAGGACUGUGGCACUAUUGCACUCCUCACUUAUCUCUGUGAAAUCUUGUUAAUGUUCUGUUUCUGCCAACAUACAAAUUUACAGAGGUAGUUACUGGAGGGGUUUGAUAAGUGUUCUUGUUUUAAAGUGCACAUUGCACCUCUUAUCCUGUGUCUUCUUUUGUGUGCAAGACCCAAAUGUUCUGGGCAAACUCUUCUAGAUGGAAGAGGGAGAUCUGCCCUUCCUUCUUCUCCCCCACCUCAGCACUUCCUUUUUUGCAGGAAAGUAAAGAAGAAGGAUUUGAUCUGUGUGUAUGUCCUGUGUCAGAAAGUGGCUCUUCAUUAAUGAAGCAGUAGACCCUGUGAGAGUAGAAAUAAGGUUGAAGCUUAUAUUUUAUUUCAGUUUUCUGUACUUUGUUUCAAUAAUGCACCACUAGAACUUUGUCAUUUCCUUGCCUUCUGUCGAUUUAUGUUUUCACUUCUCAUUAUGCAGCCCAGAAGAACUUGAAGCCUGCAGUCAAUCACACAUUAAUUUUGGUUUAAAAAUUUGUGCUGCCAGUCCUAUGUGCCAUUUGUAACACAUUUCUGGAAAUCUGGUGGGAUUUGUUUCUCCUCCCCAUUUUUAUCUGUGCUAUGGAUAAAGAUCAGCAAGGUCAAAAGAUAACUGAUCUUGACCAAAAGGCUUAGCUGAUGCUUGGCUCUUCUACCUCAAAGACUAUUGCAAGCAUUUCAAACUCAAAGUUUAGUCCCUUUUGCUUGGAGAAGUAUUUGCUGGAGUAAUAUUUUUUUUUUGCUUUAUAAAAGGUUUAAGCUACUCCUGAAAAAAUUACUUUUUUUUUCAUAAAGAUAUUUAUCAUGAAGUGGUAGCUGAGUAUCAAAAUAUGAUGAUAGAUAUAAUUAACAAUUUCAGAAGCAGACCUGGAAAAUACUUGUUGUAAUCUUUACUAAUCUAAUGCUCUAGGCAAAAUAUCCUUUAUAUUUCAGUAUGAUUUGACAAAUCAAUUGGCAGUUGCAAAGAAUUGUCAAGAACAACAGGGGAACGUAAAUUUUUUAAAAAUUAAUCAUUUUAGACUGUCACAUAAUUCAUCAUUAUGCUAUGAUGAAUAGACCCUAACUACUAGUGUAUUCCACUAAUACAUUUCUUAAUCUAUUAAUUACAUUCUGAAGAGUUGUGUGUGUAUGUACAUUGGUAUUUUCAUCUACAUCUCUAUAUGCACACACUUCCAGAGAGGAGAAUCUUUUAACAUUACUGACAGCAAAGCACAGAUUCUUUAUUAACCUGUUCAUGACUCUGUUGUGAAGCUUAAGUAUAAAUACUUUGCUGUAUUCUAAAACAUGGAUUUACACUUGGGAAUAAGUUCUUGAAUGUGAAUAAAUGCUGAUUAUUAGUUCAAAG